AACUGCUAUUAUGUUAUUUAGAUGAGGUACUGGCGUUGCCAUCUCCAACGGGACCAAAAGCCUGCCUGUGUGUGACUGGAAGUCUUCAGUGUCAAGAUGUACUGGCGGGGUGAAAUCAAAUGUUGUACAUGGAAAUGAACAACUAUCCGGACAGAAUGGCCCGAAAUAACAAUUUGAAUAUACAUGUAAAUACAUAUAUUCAAUAAAGCAUUGAAAGCAUUA